GAAAUAAAUUAAUAAAGCUUCUAACUUUAAUUUAGAUAUUAAAUUAUCAUUAUUUCU
rnacentral:tRNA from 1 species